rnacentral:sRNA from 1 species
GCUGGGUGUGGUGGCACAUGCCUGUAAUCCCAGUGGUUUGGGAGGCUAAGACAGGAGGAUUGUGAGUUCAAAGCCAGCCUCAGGAACAGUGGGGCACUAAGCAACUCAGUGAGACCCUGUCUCUA